UAUAAACAAUGAUAUUGAAAACAAAAUGUAUAAGUAGUAUGACUAAUAAUAUGUAAAAUCUUUAAUUAUAAAAUAUGUGAACAUUUACUAACAGUAGUCCACAGAAUCAGUAUUACAUAGAAAACUAAAGACUGAGCAUCAUUACUGCCUCAGUGGUCUCAUGGUAGUGUGCUGGCCUCAAGUACAGGAGGAUGUGGGUUUGAUCCUCAACUGGGACAAAACCAGACUUUUAAAUUUGCAUUUUCUGCUUCUGUCAUUCUUACACAAAUUAUUUUGGUGUUGAAGCAAAGACUGCUUGGCUCGGAGUCAGAAUAAUUUGUCCAAGUAUGUGACAUAUCUUCCUGUUACAUUGUGAGCUAGCACAUUAAGAAUCCAACUCAGCCAUUCAGUUAAGUACAAAGUAAGGUAAAUUCAUUUAUCUUACCACCUAUUCAUUUCUAGGAAUAUCAUUGGUUAAAAGCGACCGAAUGGAGACCCUGUAUAUUUAAUAUGGGGUUAGUAAACUGGUUUAUUUUAAUACACGGUUAGUAGUGGUGUUACGUCCUUUUAUAAAAACAACACGGCGUUGAGGAAAAAAUCUGAAACGUUUCACCCGGACAACAGACCAAGACAUUGAUGAUGAACGAUUGAAAAAAUGCAGAAAACACAUUAAAAGCUAACAAGUUGUUAUUGUUGGCAUUUGCUUUUAUAUAGACCAAUGGAAGUAGGUUCUUUAUAUUGAAGACUAGAUCACUUUGAUAGGCCACUAGUCUAAAUGCUACAUGUUAAGAUAGUCAGUAAGAUAAAUUCGUUACACAGUGUGCUAGUGACCUAAAACAAUAUAUAUGGAAUUUACUGACCCCAUAUAUUGUAUUAGGUUUGCUCUCAGUCCAUAUGGAAUUUACUGACCCCAUAUAUAUCGUAUUAGGUUUGCUCUCAGUCCAUAUGGAAUUUACUGACCCCAUAUAUAUCAUAUUAGGUUUGCUCUCACCUCAUAUAGAAUUUACUGACCCCAUAUUAGGCAUAUAUAUCAUAUUCACCUCAUAUGGAAUUUACUGACCCAAUAUAUAUUGUAUUAGGUUUUGUCUCACCUCAUAUGGAACUUACUUACCCCAUAUAUAUCGUAUUAGGUCACUUGCACACUGUGUAACUAAUAAUAGCAUUAACAUGUUAUCUUCCUGAAUAUGUAUGUAAUAUUUGCUGCUGGAUGUUAAGCAGCCAUCGAUCAUUCAAUUUUAUACUUUAUUAAAAUAUUUAACAUUGAUAA